rnacentral:tRNA from 1 species
GUGGGUGUAGCUCAGUGGUAGAACACUUGCCUAGCAUGUGCGAAGUCCUGAGUUCAAUCCUCAGUAUUGACA